rnacentral:rRNA from 1 species
CCUACGGGGGGCAGCAGUGAGGAAUAUUGGUCAAUGGGCGGGAGCCUGAACCAGCCAAGUCGCGUGAGGGAAGACGGUCCUAUGGAUUGUAAACCUCUUUAGGCGGGGAGCAAUGCCGGGCACGCGUGCCCGGAGGGAGAGUACCCGCAGAAUAAGCAUCGGCUAACUCCGUGCCAGCAGCCGCGGUAAUACGGAGGAUGCGAGCGUUAUCCGCAUGUAUUGGGUUUAAAGGGUGCGUAGGCGGAUUUUUAUGUCAGCGGUAAAAGGUCCGGGCUCAACCCGGGCCGGCCGUUGAAACUGGGGAUCUUGAGUGGGCGAGAAGUAUGCGGAAUGCGUGGUGUAGCGGUGAAAUGCAUAGAUAUCACGCAGAACUCCGAUUGCGAAGGCAGCAUACCGGCGCCCGACUGACGCUGAGGCACGAAAGCGUGGGGAUCGAACAGGAUUAGAUACCCUAGUAGUC